UCGGACGUCCCUUACCAGCAGAGACCAGCAACUGACUUUGAACCACGACUUUUCUCCAGCGAAAGUGCAACAUGGUUCUAAAAACGUCUUUGGAUACAUUUGGCGGGAGCGUAACGAGAGACGGCACACACAGCGGAGUAGACCAGCAAACCAGCUUGCCAAGGUGAUAGAGAAAACUAUAAAACAGAGGAUUAUGUCAAUUCGAUAUUAUGAGAAGAGAGGAUUAACGAAACUGAUGCAGCGAUGGUUUGAGGCCCAUAUUGGGUAAGGACAAAGGUAAAGAGCAAGAUUUUUGAGAUUCUAGAUUUAUUUUGUACAUAACUAUUCUUUUCCAUGAUGAUCAAUAAAUUUAACUUUUCAUCAAAAAAAAACAUCUUUGGAUGUUUAUUAUGAUAAAAAUAUCACUUUAAAUGUUUAAAGUACUAAUCAAAUAACUUCAGUUUUUAAAGUGCUAGAAAGUGACACUUUUAGUGUUUAAAACGUCAUUUUCCCAAUUCUUAACUAUUUGCUACUUUCUUAUUUUUAAUUUUUAAUUUUUAUUUUGUGAAGAUAAUUUGACUAAAAAAUCUAUUUUUGAAGUGCUUUUACUUGUCUUGCACAAUAAAGAUAACUAAUUUCUAACCAAAAUAGUUUUUAAGAAUAAUCCACAGGUGUGUGAUGCAACUAUUGAAUAAUCUUUAGUAUAUAAUGACUACGAGGAAGCAAAAUAGUUUUUAUGUUUGUUCUGACUUCACUUUCUAGACUAGACUAGAGCCUAGUGAUCUAUUUCUUGCUUCAUCCGUUCGACCCGAAUUUUUCCGACAAGACGUCACUUGUUUUUUUUUUUUUUGGUUUUAAAUAGAGAAUUGAAAAAACGAAAGUUUUUAACAAUAACCUAUGAUUGAUAUUGAUAGGACUUAAUACAAGAUUCUUUGAUUGAAUCUUGUUUGUUCCCUAAUGGUCAAUCCUUGUAAACUAUAAAUGACUACGAGGAAGCAAAAACAACCAAGGACAUUUUUAACUCCACUCUAUUUUUUAUUAUAAUAAAGUUUAGAAUAAAAAAUACUCUAAUGGUAUUCUAAUUUUCACUUUAUAAUAGAGUGAAAAAUAGUUUUAUUCUAAAUAUAGAGUAACUUAUUUUUUUUGUUCAUCGCUCUAUUUUUUACUCUAAAAUAGAGUACUAUUGGAGCAAACUCAAACUCUAUUAUAGAGUAACUCAAUUAUAGAAUUACUCUAUUUUAUAAUAAAAAUAGAGUAAACUAUUAGAUGUGGUAUAACAACCAGUUAAAGGACAAAACUGCAAACAUGAAAAAGCUCACUUGUGCAAACCACCUAAUGAUUGUUUUUCAAUACAAUUUAAAUCUAAGUGUCUGAAUGGAGGAGUGGGACAAGUGCAGAUCUCAUGCACAUGCAGUUCUCCCGCACUGUAUUCACCAUUCAUCGUUUUUUGGUUACAAAAGCAGUUCAAGCGGGAGAUCUGCAUACAGUUCAAUAUUUUUUGUCUUUUUGUGGAAAAAGCAGGAGAUCUGCAUGCAGAUCUCACCCGCCAACAUUUGGUGGUGUUGAUCUUUUUUUUUUGUUUGGUCAAUAAAUAACUUUGUUACAACACAUAACUUUUAAAAUAUAUUUAUUUAGUUUUACGAAUACAAUAUUUUUAUUUUAUUUUAUUUACAACUUUAACAAUACAAAAUUAUCAUUUUCUACUUAUUAUUUUUUGUCAUAUAAUUUUUAAUUUUUAUAAAUAAGAAAAUAAAAGAAGUAUAAGUAUCUUAUAAAACAUUUACAGGUAUUUCGGCCAAUCCUAUAACAUCUAAGAUAUUUGUUUAGAUAUCUAAAUGUCAUUUUUAUUGUUUUAAUAUAUGAUCUAUAGUUUUAAACUGAUUUUGUCAUUCAUAAGUUAUAAUAAAUUAUUUGAUUUGGUUCUCUCUUGCAUGAUCCGCUUUAUCUGCACUUGUCCCGUUUGAUCUGCACUUGUCCUGCUUGAUCUGCACUUAUCAUGCUUGAUCUGCAUGAUCUGCUUGAUCUGUCCUGCUUGAACUGCUUUUACAAUUCGAAGCCUAAAUAGAGACUCAAAGUUUUUUUUGCUUAAAGAGACUCAGAGUUAUAAACGAAGACAUUUACUUUUCCAUGUGACUAUUUUUAUAUUGGCCUAGCCCCAUGCAUGUCUAUAAUGCAGUCUAGUAGUGAAUGAAAGUGUUGUUGGAACUAUGUUUUGAACAUUAUUCAUAAUGUAUUCAUGUGUCAAAAAUAAGAUUGUAAUUGAAUGAAAAAUAAAAGUUUAAUGUGUGUGAUUUGAGAAACUUGUACAAAGUAGCAAAUACACAUGUUGGAUAUUUGAACUUGCAUUUGAGUUUUGAUUUGUCACUUGAACUUCAUGUUCAUUAACUUAAUUUGAUAAAUCAAAUAUAUGUUAAUCUCUUAUAUUGAUAAAAAUUUAAAAGAAAUCCUUUUUAAAUUAUAUUAUUUAGUUUUAAUUGGUCAAACAAUAAAAAAAUUACUCUUUAAUUUCUUGGUCAAAAUGUGGAAUAAAUUCAUAUAAUUAACAAGAAUUAAAAAAAAUUUAUAUGUUUUAUUUUUAUGUUGAAAGCUGAAACUUGUGAUUCUCAUUAUUUUUUCUAUAAAAGGACUUGCUAGCAUUAUAAAAAAACACACAUUCAACAAAAACAAAUCACUUGAUCCUACUUUGAAUAGUUAUGUUAGUAUUUUUUUAAUUUUGCCUCAGAGAGUACAACACAAAAUAGGUUUGAGAUAUCAUGUUCUUCAGUGAUGGGAGACGGAAACAUAUACAGUUGUAUUCUAAGAAUCUGAGCGCUAUCAAACCAUCACACUAUAAGGCAUUAAAGAUUUAAGGAAAAAAAUUAAUCUUCUCGACUCUUCAAUUAUUAUUUAUCAAUAGACUUUGGUAUUGUAAUUUUCAAUUUAUGGUAUUAUUACAAAUAUCAGUUGUUCUAUUGUAGUAAAAUAAGGUUUCUACAAAUGUAAGAGGAUAUAUCGUUGUAAGAAUGAAUAAAACAUAACCAAAAUGUCUACAGUAAUUAAUAGUUCCCAAUAAUUUAGUAAAUUAUAUAUCUAUUUCUUUUCAUGUUAAUUAUGAAGUGUCUAGGCCUUUGGCCCAAAUAAUCUUCCAAUGUUGGAGAGGUGAUGCUUUGUUAUAACGAGACAUGGUAUAACCCUCCUCCCACCGGGUUUCAAACCAGGAGCGCAACAUCACAAAUGUAUGCGCUUAAACCAAUUGAUCUAUCGCGUCCGGUGGUUUGUAUAACUAGUUUUCCUGUCCUAGACUUACAAAACUGUUGAAUCAUCUUCAACGACAAAAGCCCCUAAGAGCAUCUUCAACCCUACUCUAUUUUUGACUCUAAACUUAAUUUUAGAGUAAAAUCUUCUUCAACCCCACUCCAUAUUCAACUCCAAAAUGGAGUAUUGACUAGGGUUACUCCAUUUAUAGAGUAAUCUUACUCAAUACUCCAUUUUAGAGUUGAACUUUUUUUAUUUAUGAAAUGGUCUUUUUAAUCUUUAAUAUUUUUAUUUCAAACUUAAAAUAAUAUAAUAGCAUGAAAAAUAUAAUACUCCGCAAGAGAUUAUUUAAUUGUUUACAUAAAAUAUGCAUAAACUCAUAAAAUUCAAAACUAAGAAUAAAUAAUAUAAAAUAAAAUAAUUUAAAUAAGUAAUUUAAUAAUUUUGUAAAUUGCUUUUGAAACUACUAAAAUCGGUGAAGUAUUAUUAAAACGGAAUAGAUGAGUUUUUUAAUCUUGUGGAUCAAAUUUUAUGAUUAAUAACAUUUGUACUUGUUGAACUUGAUAUAUGCACAACCAAUAGGACCCAAUACAUAACUCAAGUUACAAAACAAAACUUUAUUUUUUCUUUAUGUCCUUUUAAUGCAUAUAAAUAUUUUUGAAUUAGAAAAAUUGCAUAUGAUAAAAACUGCACGAAUUGAAAUUGGAAGAUAAUUUCUGGUUGUAUUUUUAUGAUAAAUUUUUAAUUGAAAUAAAAUUUAUUAUUAUGGAAAUUUUGUAAACAUAAAAUAGUUGGGUUAAUUGUUAAAUUCUUAUAAGUUGAAGGUACUACUAACAAUUAUUAACUAAAUAAAAAAAAAUGUUUUUGGAGUAAAAAAUGGAGUAAUACAUUGGAGUAAAAUUCAACUCCAUUUUGAAGUUACACCAUUUUAGAGUAAAAUUUGGAGUAAUACAUUGAAGAUGCUCUAAGCCACACUUCAGUGGUUAACUUUACCAUAUUUUCAUUAAUAAUAGAUGUACUUUUUGUAAUUAUAUAAUAAAUGCUAAGUACGUUUAUUGAGACACAUUUUAAAGAACCUUUCCUAUUGAAUUUUCUUUCUUUUUAGAAAAUGGAGAUGCUCUGAACGAGGAUGAUCAGGGGCGUCUGGAGACCAAAAGCAAUUUAGUAAGAGUUUUCAAAUAUUUUUUUUGAAAAAAUUUGAGGGUCCUAUACCAAUGUUACUUCGCUAUGCUCUGAAGAUGAUAUCAGCUCUAAUAGAGAUCUGAAAACGAGAUUAUGGCGUCAGCAAGUGACGUAGCACUGUCAGCCUAGCUUACCCACCAGCUCACCGUGAUAGACCUCUUUUCCAGUUUCCACUAAAAUUGUUUCGUGUACAUUUCAGAUUUUCAGUAUGCCUACCAAAAGUCUCAAACAAUCGACAAAGAAAAAAGAAGUCUCAAGCGUAUUUAUCAGCAAAAUAUUUUUAGUUUACACGAGCUUAUAGAACUAUAUAGUGAGUCUUACAUUAUGUGUUUUUAUGGAGAUACACGUCGAGAGAGAAAAGGUUUAUGAAUACUUGCCGACACUGAUGUUGAUAGGCUUACGGGUGGUAUAUGUGACCACCAAUUUUUAUAAAAUAAAUUUUAGUAUUAUAAAUAAGUAAAAAUACGUUUCGGAUCAAAGAGACAUGGGGAGAGAAAACGACCGAAAGAAACUCAAGGGUUCCUCAAAAUCACUUCGUGGCAUUUCUUGUAAUUCUCUUCAUUUUCUGAGGGGUAAUGAUAAAAUAUGAAACUAUAUAGUUUUUGUAAGAUUUUGUUUUCUUUUUACUUUAAUAACGUGAAAACAAUGAAUAAGACGUACCAUUGGCAGUUCUUGUCCCCUGCAACUGCAAUCAGCGACUCGUCUAUCCUAUCGCAGCCGAACUUUUCGAUCACCUUCUCGUGAUCGACAUUACCGGAGACGACCCACGGAGUCACAGCUUGCACCUCCUCCGAUGAUGACGAUUCAGGCCUUUGUUUAUCCAAGCUCAGCAUCUCUCAUCCAACAAACAAACGGUUGAUCUCAUGUGAUGAUUUGGAAAGAUUUUUCAAAAUAUCUAUGAACAUCGACGAACCAAUUUCUCAGAAAAACAAAAAAAAAGACAUUAACGAAGAGGAAGAAAGAGAAGAUAUUGACAGAGAAUACUAGUAGCAGAUCAACAUAAAUAAAACUUACACAAAUUGGAGUACACAAAGGAUACAGUGGGGAGGAACAUUCGCUUGCCGCAGAAUCGACCCGCAGUUAUAGCGAGAGCUCGACCCGGUAGAGUUAGGCGUACCUGGUGACCAGUUCUUAAUGAUUGGGUUGUCAAAAACAGCUUGCUAAGCACACCCAGACAGUGAACUUCAUGGACAGACAGCUAGACCCGAGACCAAGACCACAAACCCCCACCAAGUCGAUCUUUAUUGGAGAAGGAACAACCGUGAGCCUAAACCAGAGAGACAGAGCCAACUACUCCACCAUUAAAAAAUAUAUAACUAUUAAAAAAAUAUUGAUUGUUUUAAACAUAACUUUUGCUUUUUAUAUCGUGUACUAAAUACAUUUUAGAAAAGUUGGACAACUAGAGAGAGUGGCAGAGAAAAAGGAAAAAAGAGGGCAGGAGAGAAAACGACGGCCAUGGAAGGAGCUAAGGAUAUCAGGGAGACAAAAAAUUUGUAAUUCGCGAACAACAAAUCUAUCUUUUGGGUGUUUGGACUUAAUUGCAUAAGGUUUCUUAGUUUAAGACAGCUCAUUUUAAAUUAUCAACAAACUGACAUUGUCAGAAAAGUCUGGAUCUUUGAUUCACAAUUUUAUAUGAUUGGAACUAGUAUUAUGCUAAGCCCUUUAUCAAAAAAAAAAAAACUAGUAUUAUGCGAUGGAUUCAUCAUCAAUCGUCCCGUUGAACUAUGGGAUCAGACUUUGAUUUAACCAACUUCGUAUAAAUAUGACCAAAUUGUAUUUGAUUAUAAGUUAUUACAGUGUUUUAAAGGUGAACCAGAUAAUUAUUAGGUCACGAUUCAAUAUGGUCCGAUCGAAUCAAACAUGGUUCAACAAUUUGGUUUAAUAUAUUUUUAGUGUAAAUUUAAAAGUAAUAUUUGUAAAUAUGAUAUAUAAUUAAAAUAUAAACAAAUUUAAAACAUAAAACAUAAAAAUUAAAUUAAUUUUAUGUUUAUAUGAAUGGUUUAUAGAUUUUUGAUAGUUUUAACAGUUUUAAUUAGUUUAAUAACUUUGCGUUUUAAUGCUGUACAUAACGGAUUCAUGAUCGAACUAGUUUUUAGAUCCAAUUCGGCUAUUUAAUCGAUUUAUGGUCGAACUGGUCUAAUCAUUGGGUCGGUCCGGUUUUAAACACAGCGUGUAAGUGUUAUGUAUAUGUUAUGGAGGGAAAUGUGGGCUAAAUCAAAGCAAAUCAAAAUUCGGGCAGACAAACUAAAAUAAAGAAAAAGAAAGAGGAAAGGUGCAGAAGUGGAGCUGCAAAGGCAGUGAGGCAAUCAUUGCUGGUGAAUGUGGAUGGGAGCCCACUUAUUUCUUUUGAUUAUUUGUUCUCCAUUUCUUAUUUUCUCUUUCCAUUUUGCUGAUAUACUCAAGUGUAUUUUCACGACAAAAUCUUACAGACUUUCUUUCAAAAUGAUAAAAUUAAGAGAUCGAACCUUUCCGACC